rnacentral:rRNA from 1 species
GAUGAACGCUGGCGGCGUGCCUAAUACAUGCAAGUCGAGCGAACGGACGAGAAGCUUGCUUCUCUGAUGUUAGCGGCGGACGGGUGAGUAACACGUGGAUAACCCACCUAUAAGACUGGGAUAACUUCGGGAAACCGGAGCUAAUACCGGAUAAUAUUUUGAACCGCAUGGUUCAAAAGUGAAAGACGGUCUUGCUGUCACUUAUUGAUGGAUCCGCGCUGCAUUAGCUAGUUGGUAAGGUAACGGCUUACCAAGGCAACGAUGCAUAGCCGACCUGAGAGGGUGAUCGGCCACACUGGAACUGAGACACGGUCCAGACUCCUACGGGAGGCAGCAGUAGGGAAUCUUCCGCAAUGGGCGAAAGCCUGACGGAGCAACGCCGCGUGAGUGAUGAAGGUCUUCGGAUCGUAAAACUCUGUUAUUAGGGAAGAACAUAUGUGUAAGUAACUGUGCACAUCUUGACGGUACCUAAUCAGAAAGCCACGGCUAACUACGUG